UGGGGAAUUUUGGACAAUGGGCGAAAGCCUGAUCCAGCAAUGCCGCGUGUGUGAAGAAGGCCUUCGGGUUGUAAAGCACUUUUGUCCGGAAAGAAAUCCUUGGCUCUAAUACAGUCGGGGGAUGACGGUACCGGAAGAAUAAGCACCGGCUAACUACGUGCCAGCAGCCGCGGUAAUACGUAGGGUGCAAGCGUUAAUCGGAAUUACUGGGCGUAAAGCGUGCGCAGGCGGUUUGCUAAGACCGAUGUGAAAUCCCCGGGCUCAACCUGGGAACUGCAUUGGUGACUGGCAGGCUAGAGUAUGGCAGAGGGGGGUAGAAUUCCACGUGUAGCAGUGAAAUGCGUAGAGAUGUGGAGGAAUACCGAUGGCGAAGGCAGCCCCCUGGGCCAAUACUGACGCUCAUGCACGAAAGCGUGGGGGAGCAAACAGGAUUAGAUACCCUGGUAGUCCACGCCCUAAACGAUGUCAACUAGUUGUUGGGGGAUUCAUUUUCCUUAGUAACGUAGCUAACGCGUGAAGUUGACCGCCUGGGGGAGUACGGUCGCAAGAUUAAAA
rnacentral:rRNA from 1 species